AAAUGGUUUUCUUUACCCCGUCUUGUAACACGGACCAAGGAGUCUAACAUAUGUGCGAGUACAUGGGUGACAAACCUACGUGCGCAAUGAAAGUAACAGUGGUUGGAUCCGGUAAAACGGUGCACAAUCCGCCGGCCACAAUCCUUCGGGAGAAAGGUCUGAGUGUGAGCACACAUGUUGGGACCCGAAAGAUGGUGAACUAUGCCUGAAUAGGGUGAAGCCAGGGGAAACUCUGGUGGAGGCUCGCAGCGGUUCUGACGUGCAAAUCGAUCGUCAAAUUUGGGUAUAGGGGCGAAAGACUAAUCGAACCAUCUAGUAGCUGGUUCCCUCCGAAGUUUCCCUCAGGAUAGCUGGAGCUCAUACAAGUUUUAUCAGGUAAAGCGAAUGAUUAGAGGCAUCGGGGGUGAAACAUCCUCGACCUAUUCUCAAACUUUAAAUAGGUAAGAAGUCCUUGCCACUUGAUUGGGCAUGGGCAUUGAAUUGGAGUUCCAAGUGGGCCAUUUUUGGUAAGCAGAACUGGCGAUGCGGGAUGAACCGAACGCGAGGUUAAGGUGCCGGAGUGGACGCUCAUCAGACACCACAAAAGGUGUUAGCACAUUUAGACAAUAGGACGGUGGCCAUGGAAGUCGGAAUCCGCUAAGGACUGUGUAACAACUCACCUAUCGAAUGUGCUAGCCCUGAAAAUGGAUGGCGCUCAAGCGUCCCACCCAUACCUCGCCCUCAGGGUAGAAACGAUGCCCUGAGGAGUAGGCGGCCGUGGGGGUCAGUGACGAAGCCUAGGGCGUGAGCCCGGGUUGAACGGCCUCUAGUGCAGAUCUUGGUGGUAGUAGCAAAUA
rnacentral:rRNA from 1 species